UCGAUACCUGCCCAGCAGAACGACCCGAGAACACGCGAAAACAACCACACGCAGGGACGCCCCGCCAACAGGCAGGACGGCUCCCCCUCCACUAAUCAAAAUCCGGCGCGACAAGCGUCAAGGAAAACUCUACGGAAACAAGGGGGCGACCCCAAGAAUCCGAACACUCAAACGACUCUCGGCAACGGAUAUCUCGGCUCUUGCAUCGAUGAAGAACGUAGCGAAAUGCGAUACUUGGUGUGAAUUGCAGAAUCCCGUGAACCAUCGAGUCUUUGAACGCAAGUUGCGCCCGAAGUCUUUCAGACCGAGGGCACGUCUGCCUGGGCGUCACACACAGCGUCGCCCCCCGCCAUCCCGUUGGCCGGGGGACGGAAACUGGCCCCCCGAGCCCCCACGGGCACGGUCGGCACAAAUGCUGGUCCUCGGCGGCGAGCGUCGCGGUCGGCGGUGGUUGUACCCUCACCCCCCGAAGACAGAAACGACGCGAACGCAUCGCCGCACGCAGGCACAACGAACCCAGAGAAGCUCCCGCCCGGAGACUUCAACCU
rnacentral:misc_RNA from 1 species